rnacentral:lncRNA from 1 species
UUUUUAUUUGCGAUCAUUUCGUUGGAAAGAAGACACAAAUAUGUUAUCUAAAUUGUGAAGUAAGAAAGAUUUAAUUGAAAUGGCAAGUGCUUCAUCAGAAAGUGUUCCUGUUGAUGAAAUCAACGAACUACUCACAUGUUGCAUGUGUUUGGAAACCCUACAAGAACCACGAAGCUUGGCUUGCUUUCAUAAUUUUUGUAAAGUCUGUUUAGGUGAGUAUAUUUUACUUUUUAAAAAAAUCUACUUUGCACAUGCUUGCAUGAGUACCACAGAAUAGGAAUAUAUCCUUAUCCUGUGAUGGGUAAUGACUGAAUUCAUAAUUUAAUACAAGGUUGGAAAG